rnacentral:rRNA from 1 species
UGGGGAAUUUUGGACAAUGGGCGCAAGCCUGAUCCAGCCAUGCCGCGUGCAGGAUGAAGGCCUUCGGGUUGUAAACUGCUUUUGUACGGAACGAAAAGGUGCCCUCCAAUAAAGGGCGCUCAUGACGGUACCGUAAGAAUAAGCACCGGCUAACUACGUGCCAGCAGCCGCGGUAAUACGUAGGGUGCGAGCGUUAAUCGGAAUUACUGGGCGUAAAGCGUGCGCAGGCGGCUUUGUAAGACAGAUGUGAAAUCCCCGGGCUCAACCUGGGAACUGCAUUUGUGACUGCAAGGCUAGAGUGCGUCAGAGGGAGGUGGAAUUCCGCGUGUAGCAGUGAAAUGCGUAGAGAUGCGGAGAAACACCGAUGGCGAAGGCAGCGUCCUGGGAUGACACUGACGCUCAUGCACGAAAGCGUGGGGAG